rnacentral:rRNA from 1 species
AUGGGACAUCCGUCCUCCGGCGGCAUGGGGCAGCCCAAGCUCCGCAAGGGGCUGUGGUCACCCGUGGAAGACGAGAAGCUCUACAACCACAUCAUCCGGCACGGCGUCGGCUGCUGGAGCUCCGUCCCCAGGCUAGCCGGGCUGCACCGCUGCGGCAAGAGCUGUCGCUUCCGGUGGCUCAACUACCUCCGCCCCGACCUCAGGCGCGGCAGCUUCUCGCAGCAGGAGGAGGACCACAUCGUCGCGCUCCACCAGAUCCUCGGCAACAGGUGGUCGCAGAUCGCGUCGCGCCUGCCGGGCCGGACGGACAACGAGAUCAAGAACUUCUGGAACAGCUGCAUCAAGAAGAAGCUCCGGCAGCAGGGCAUCGACCCGGCCACGCAGAAGCCCAAGGGUAUGGCCACCGCGGCAUUGCCGGACGUCGAAAUGGAAGACCGUAAGGCCCUUUCCACGGUGGUCGACGGCGGCCUCGCUCAGAAGCAGCAGCUGGUGUUUGACCCGUUCCCGGUGUGCGCCGACUACGGCGGCGGCUUCGCCGAGGACCUCAGCGCGGCGAACGCUGCGGCAUUCUACGGGCAGUUCGGCGGCGGCAAGGAGGGCGCGGACGACGACGCCGGGUUCGGCACCGGCGACUACAGCUGUGUCCUGGACGUGUCAGAGAACCUGGGCUACGGGGAGAGCUCGAGCAACAGCAGCAACUGGAACUACGGCGGCGAGGUUGGAAACGUGCUCGACGGCGAGGUGCUGGACUGGGCAAAGGCGGAGAUGGAGCGGCAACACGACCAACUGCUGGAGCACAAGUUUUUGCUGCCCUGCCCAGAACAGAGCCUGCUCGCAAAUUUCGAAUUCAAUUUGGAACAAUACUUCUGA